GCUACUCAUUUAUUAACUGUCUGGGAGUUCCAGCAGGGUCAGAAUCAGGUCUGUCUGUACCGUCGGUGAGUCCUCAACAUCACCCAGCACAGGGCCUGGCACUCAGUAGGUGCUCAGUAACCAUGCGCUGAAUGAAUGAGUAAAUGAAGGAGUGAAUGAAUGAUUGCCAACCUCAAUAGCUGGACAUUUAUCAUGAGGGCAGUAGGAAGCCACAGAAGUAUUUUAGGCAGAACUGGACCCAUUUCUCUCAAACUCUGAUGUGCAUCUGGGAUUUUGAAUGUAGAUUCCGCUUCGGUGGGUUGAGGAAGGGGCCUGAGAUUCUGCAUUUCAAGCUCCCAAAUGAUGCCAAGGCUUUGAGUAGCAAAGGUGUUGCCCUGCUCUUCAGUACAGUACAGGAGCCACUGGCCACAUGUGGCUCCUGGGCACUUGAAAUGUGGCUCGUGUGACUUGAGAUAUAUUUUAAGCAUAAAUACCCACCAGAGUUAAAGACUUGGUACAAAAAAAAUGUUUUAUAUUGAUCACAUACUGAUAUGGUAAUAUUUUGGAUAUAUUGAGUUAAAUAAAAUAUAUUAUUAAAAUUACAA
ensembl:lncRNA novel transcript